GGGCACAUGGUGUAGUUGGUUAUCACGCCCGCUUAGCACUAUCGAAGCCGUUUGCGGGCGGUCCCCGGUUCAAUUCCGGGUGUGUCCA